AGCGAACGCUGGCGGCAGGCCUAACACAUGCAAGUCGAACGGAUCCUUCGGGAUUAGUGGCGGACGGGUGCGUAACACGUGGGAACGUGCCAUUUGGUUCGGAACAACUCAGGGAAACUUGAGCUAAUACCGGAUGUGCCCUCCGGGGGAAAGAUUUAUCGCCAUUGGAGCGGCCCGCGUCUGAUUAGCUAGUUGGUGAGGUAACGGCCCACCAAGGCGACGAUCAGUAGCUGGUCUGAGAGGAUGAUCAGCCACACUGGGACUGAGACACGGCCCAGACUCCUACGGGAGGCAGCAGUGGGGAAUCUUGCGCAAUGGGCGAAAGCCUGACGCAGCCAUGCCGCGUGAAUGAUGAAGGUCUUAGGAUUGUAAAAUUCUUUCAGCGGGGACGAUAAUGACGGUACCCGCAGAAGAAGCUCCGGCUAACUUCGUG
rnacentral:rRNA from 1 species